CAAGGAGCCGGGGUCGCCCGAUCGGACCCCGGACGUGAAGUCGACGAUGGUCGGUGGGCUGGUUUUGGUAAGCAGAACGGGCGAUUCGGGAUGAACCGGAAGCGGGGAGAAAGGGCCCGAGAUUGCGUCGACGCGGAUCCCGAAAAGGGCGUCGAUCCGUCGCGACAGCGGGACGGUGGUCAUGGAAGUCGAAAUCCGCUAAGAAGCGUGUAAAAACGUACCCGCCCAACGGAUCGGCCCCGAAAAUUGAUGGCGCUCGAACGCAACCCUCGAACCCCGCCGACGGAGGCUAGGGGAGGCCCCGUCGAGUAGGCGGACGCGCGGGUCGCUUCGACGCUCCCGCGCGAGCGGGGGCGGAGCGGCCCGUGGUGCAGAUCUUGGUGGUAGUAGCGAUCACCCAGGCGAGAACCCUGAGGGCCGAAGUGGAGAAGGGUUUCUCGAGAACGGCACUCGCUCGAGAGUUAGUCGAUCCUAAGCUGCCG
rnacentral:rRNA from 1 species